GCUGAGCCUCAGCGAUUCCGGCAGCUCAGCCCCAUAGUCUGAGCCACGGUCGCCUGUUUGCCUGGCUAAUCUUGGUCACAAAUGACUCAACGGCUUCGUUGUUCUGGCCAGUGUUUUGACUGUUGUCAGAGAGGAGCCUCGCAGAACGGGACAAAGCUUUUCCCCAGCAAGAGAAGAAAAAGAGACCAAGAGUGAAGGGGGGAUGCUACCCAGCCUGAAGCACCCCACUCUGCUAGCAGCUGCUGGGAAAGGGGGGGGAGCGGGGCUCCCUGGAGGUUUGCUGUCUGAGACCAGCUUGGGAAGGGCUCUGGCUGAGGGCUCCGAGACAGAGGCAGCCGCUGGACACUGACAGAGACAACGAAGUGCAUCACCCCAGGUCCGUACCAUCGAGCGCAGGCCUGGUGCAGUGUGAAUGUCAGGCCAUGCACCAAGGCCCUGCUCAGCAGUUCCCCAGCCCGGCUUUCCAGGGCCAUCGUCUCGCAGCAGUUGGUGCUGAGCAGAGGGGUCUCUCCAGGGUGGGUAACAUCCUGCAGCACAGACGGCCUCCCAGGAGCUCUGCAGGCGAACGCCAAGCUGCUCAGGGUGGAGGAAAGGAACCUGCAGCCGGUCUCUGGGCCGCACAUGCUCUUCUCACCACCUGACCUUCAGCUAACCGGGUGG